rfam:Culex pipiens quinquefasciatus supercont3.133 genomic scaffold, whole genome shotgun sequence.
AGCUUUGCGCAAUGGCGAAGUCGUAACCAAUGAGGUACAUCCGAGGUGCGAUUAUUGCUAGUUGAAAACUAACUUAUUUU